rnacentral:rRNA from 1 species
UGGGGAAUAUUGCGCGAUGGGGGGAACCCUGACGCAGCCAUGCCGCGUGAAUGAAGAAGGCCUUAGGGUUGUAAAGUUCUUUCGGUAUUGAGGAAGGUUGAUGUGUUAAUAGCACAUCAAAUUGACGUUAAAUACAGAAGAAGCACCGGCUAACUCCGUGCCAGCAGCCGCGGUAAUACGGAGGGUGCGAGCGUUAAUCGGAAUAACUGGGCGUAAAGGGCACGCAGGCGGUUAUUUAAGUGAGGUGUGAAAGCCCCGGGCUUAACCUGGGAAUUGCAUUUCAGACUGGGUAACUAAUAGAGUACUUUAGGGAGGGGUAGAAUUCCACGUGUAGCGGUGAAAUGCGUAGAGAUGUGGGGAGAAUACCGAAGGCGAAGGCAGCCCCUUGGGAAUGUACUGACGCUCGUGGGAAACGGUGGGGAGCAAACAGGAUUAGAUACCCUGGUAGUCCACGCUGUAAACGCUGUCGAUUUGGGGGUUGGGGUUUAACUCUGGCGCCCGUAGCUACGUGAUAAAUCGACCGCCUGGGGAGUACGGCCGCAAGGUUA